rnacentral:rRNA from 2 species
AGACCCGAAACCCGGUGAUCUAGCCAUGGGCAGGUUGAAGGUUGGGUAACACUAACUGGAGGACCGAACCGACUAAUGUUGAAAAAUUAGCGGAUGACCUGUGGCUGGGGGUGAAAGGCCAAUCAAACCGGGAGAUAGCUGGUUCUCCCCGAAAGCUAUUUAGGUAGCGCCUCGUGAAUUCAUCUCCGGGGGUAGAGCACUGUUUCGGCCAGGGGGCCAUCCCGGCUUACCAAUCCGAUGCAAACUGCGAAUACCGGAGAAUGUUAUCACGGGAGACACACGGCGGGUGCUAACGUCCGUCGUGAAGAGGGAAACAACCCAGACCGCCAGCUAAGGUCCCAAAGUCAUGGUUAAGUGGGAAACGAUGUGGGAAGGCCCAGACAGCCAGGAUGUUGGCUUAGAAGCAGCCAUCAUUUAAAGAAAGCGUAAUAGCUCACUGGUCGAGUCGGCCUGCGCGGAAGAUGUAACGGGGCUAAACCAUGCACCGAAGCUGCGGCAGCGACACUGAUGUGUUGUUGGGUAGGGGAGCGUUCUGUAAGCCGUUGAAGGUGGCCUGUGAGGGUUGCUGGAGGUAUCAGAAGUGCGAAUGCUGACAUAAGUAACGAUAAAGCGGGUGAAAAGCCCGCUCGCCGGAAGACCAAGGGUUCCUGUCCAACGUUAAUCGGGGCAGGGUGAGUCGACCCCUAAGGCGAGGCCGAAAGGCGUAGUCGAUGGGAAACGGGUUAAUAUUCCCGUACUUGGUGUUACUGCGAAGGGGGGACGGAGAAGGCUAUGUUGGCCGGGCGACGGUUGUCCCGGUUUAAGCGUGUAGGUGUGUGUUCCAGGUAAAUCCGGUUCACUUUAACACUGAGGCGUGACGACGAGGCACCACGGUGCUGAAGCAACAAAUGCCCUGCUUCCAGGAAAAGCCUCUAAGCCUCAGGUAACAUCAAAUCGUACCCCAAACCGACACAGGUGGUCAGGUAGAGAAUACCAAGGCGCUUGAGAGAACUCGGGUGAAGGAACUAGGCAAAAUGGUGCCGUAACUUCGGGAGAAGGCACGCUGACACGUAGGUGAAGUGGUUUACCCAUGGAGCUGAAGUCAGUCGAAGAUACCAGCUGGCUGCAACUGUUUAUUAAAAACACAGCACUGUGCAAACACGAAAGUGGACGUAUACGGUGUGACGCCUGCCCGGUGCCGGAAGGUUAAUUGAUGGGGUCAGCGCAAGCGAAGCUCCUGAUCGAAGCCCCGGUAAACGGCGGCCGUAACUAUAACGGUCCUAAGGUAGCGAAAUUCCUUGUCGGGUAAGUUCCGACCUGCACGAAUGGCGUAAUGAUGGCCAGGCUGUCUCCACCCGGGACUCAGUGAAAUUGAACUCGCUGUGAAGAUGCAGUGUACCCGCGGCAAGACGGAAAGACCCCGUGAACCUUUACUAUAGCUUGACACUGAACACUGGUCCUUGAUGUGCAGGAUAGGUGGGAGGCUUUGAAGUGUGGACGCCAGUCUGCAUGGAGCCAUCCUUGAAAUACCACCCUUUAAUGGCUGGUGUUCUAACGUGGGCCCGUGAACCGGGUUGCGGACAGUGUCUGGUGGGUAGUUUGACUGGGGCGGUCUCCUCCUAAAGAGUAACGGAGGAGCACGAAGGUUGGCUAAUCCUGGUCGGACAUCAGGAGGUUAGUGCAAUGGCAUAAGCCAGCUUGACUGCGAGCGUGACGGCGCGAGCAGGUGCGAAAGCAGGUCAUAGUGAUCCGGUGGUUCUGAAUGGAAGGGCCAUCGCUCAACGGAUAAAAGGUACUCCGGGGAUAACAGGCUGAUACCGCCCAAGAGUUCAUAUCGACGGCGGUGUUUGGCACCUCGAUGUCGGCUCAUCACAUCCUGGGGCUGAAGUAGGUCCCAAGGGUAUGGCUGUUCGCCAUUUAAAGUGGUACGCGAGCUGGGUUUAGAACGUCGUGAGACAGUUCGGUCCCUAUCUGCCGUGGGCGCUGGAAGAUUGAGGGGGGCUGCUCCUAGUACGAGAGGACCGGAGUGGACGCAUCACUGGUGUUCGGGUUGUCAUGCCAAUGGCACUGCCCGGUAGCUACAUGCGGAAGAGAUAAGUGCUGAAAGCAUCUAAGCACGAAACUUGCCCCGAGAUGAAUCUUCCCUGAGCCUUUAAGGCUCCUGAAGGAACGUUGAAGACGACGACGUUGAUAGGCCGGGUGUGUAAGCGCAGCGAUGCGUUGAGCUAACCGGUACUAAUGAACCGUGAGGCUUAACCUUACAACGCCGAAG